rnacentral:lncRNA from 1 species
CCAGCGCUUCUCCCAGGGUGAGCCCUCAUCCAGCUGUGUCCAGAAUGAGGAGCAGAUGGAAGGAAUUGGGGAGAAAAGUGAAGGUUCUUAUUUUUUGAACAGGGUCUUACUCUGUCACCCAGGCUGGAGUGCAGUGGCACGAUCCUAGCUCACUGCACCAAGAACACCUGGGCUCAAGCGAUCUUCCCACCCUAGCCUCCUGAGUCACUAGGACUACAGGUGCACACCACCAUGCCCAGCUAACUUUUUAAAAUUUUUGUAGAGACAGGGCCUCCCUAUGUUGCCCAAGCGAAUCUCGAAUUCCUGGCCUUAGCCAUCUUCCCUGGGAGACCCUGGAUCCAGAGCUUGGGGGUGACAUCGGCCUCCUCCUGCCAUGAGGAUCAAGAUAGGCAGCAAUGGCCAAGGGCACAGUCUGGCGGGCCAUAGCCCUGUGCCACCCACCGCGGGUGUGCAGCGGUGCAGAAGCAGAUGCGUCUGUCUCAGCGAGUUCUCCCCAGGAGUCGUUCAUGCCCACCAAGGGGCACAUGCUGGUGGUGCGCCUGCCACUGAAGCACCUGCACGCCUUUGCCGACAGCCUGAAGCCAGAGCAGGUCUCACCUUUCGUCCACUCCCACACCACCAGCCCGCUGGGGGAGUUCAAACAGUGGGUGGCCCUUGCGGCUUCCAGCCGC